UUUUUCAUUAUCAAACUUGAUUAAAUGCAUAUUGAUAGACAUAUGUUAAAGUGGAUACUUCAGUGAUAAACCUUGAUGUCGAACAACUGAAGCAAAACCAUGUUUAUCGGCACAAUAAAGAUGGUCAAUGAUUUAAUCAAACAAAAUGUUUUCUUUUUUCAGAAUGAUGCGUCCUCCCCUUGCCGUGGGGAAGCGCAGCAGGCGAGCAAAGAAAAAACAAGGGGGAGGACGUAAUUUCGUUUCAUGCAAACAUUAAGUGAGAAAAAUGUUUCAUGGCAAACAAAAUGGCGGAUUUAGAAUGCAAAGUACUGAUUCAGGAACCAACUUUUGCCUGGAACUUCACCAUGGCCCGAUUUAGAAGGCGAACGAUCCUCACGUUAUACAGAAAAUCACACAAGACCGC